rnacentral:lncRNA from 1 species
UAAGAAACCAGAAAGUCCGAGGUCCUACCACAACAGAUAUUCUUCAUAGAAUGUGAAGAACUGUUUUCACUGUGGAAGGCUGAAUUGCACAUGAUGAGAAACUCCAGAGGCUGUGAGAGAUUGGGACCACAAGGUGAUGGAGACAAACAAGGUGACAGCAUUGGCCCCGCCUCGCUGAUCCAUUUAUUUGUCACAAGGUUUAACAUUUCAUGGUGCCGUGCUUGAGAAUCAAUCACCUGGCCCCCAUCCACAGAAUCCAGCUGGCUGGGACCAAAGCUGGAGGGAUCAGGAGCUAAAACCCAUGCCGACUUGCAGCAGGGCCCACAAGAGGAGCGAGAAGACAGAUUGUAGGCUGGUUAUCAGUGAAGCCCAGAAUCCAGAGACUUACUGCUUCUGAGACUAAUGGUCUCCCAACAUCCCCCGCAUAGUAAUAAAACUCCCAGCUUUAGACAGGCACAUAAAAUUCAGUAGAUAACACACGAGUAUUUCUGUCUCUCCUGGCAGCCAGAAUAGGUUCAGAACAGUACAUGAGGAUGCAAGGGAAAUAUUCAACUUCUAGAAUAUUCACGUCCUUAUAGACAGACUGCUGGUCUUCCACUUGCUAUUUUCUCCCUCCUGAAAACUUGAAAAUGAUCCUGUG